rnacentral:lncRNA from 1 species
GUCCAGUUUAAGGAAGAUCUACUGUACUUUGUAGGUGAUCUCUCCAGGUACCAAAUGACAUGAUGAGGGGAGAUGGCAUGCCCUGGAGCUCCCCAGAGAGCAACUGUACCAUCAUGGAGUCCUUUGAGGAAGCUCACCUGCUCUGUCCAGGAGAAGUAAAUUAUAGGAGUGAAGCCACCGGAGGAAGUAGAGAAAACACAAUAUAACCAACAACUGAUGUUGUCUUCUUUAGUAUGAUACCACAAGACUCAUGGAUCACUACAGGGAUCAUAGCCAUGCUUUAGGCAAUAAUACAGAUGGAGGCAGCCAGAAGAUCACUACCAGCUUGCAAAGGAGUUGAUUUCCUAAUAGUUCUGCACAACUUCCAUGUAUACGUCAAGGCCUGACUAAAGAUGCA